rnacentral:lncRNA from 1 species
UCCCUGGUCCUCGGUUCCGUGUUAAAUAGAGCCGGGGAAUAGCCCCCACGGCGGUGGCACUUACAACAGGUUUGUUACAGAUUUGUUACAAGAGAUAAGAUCUCCUAGGUACAAACUAGGAACUAACUGUAUACAGAAUAUCUAUAAUCUAACAGGAACUACAUGGAGAAUAAUUGCUGGAGUGAUCCAUUAAUUAACUGCAAGAUCAGAUUCAUCAAUUAAUUUAAGAUAAAAAAUUGGUCAAAAUAUGGCAAGUAAAAAAGGAUCUAGUUUAGAAUUUUGUUUUACUUCAAUUUCUGGCUGAACUGUUAUAGCUAAGGAUCUCCAUUAUUAUUGCAAAAUUAGUACAUGAUGACUCUGUGUCUGUGAGCUGGUUGAAACCUAUAAGCAAACAAAAAUAACUAAGAUACUAUCAUGUUGACGAACAGAGCGCCUUGUGGAAAAACAUAGUGGUGGCCACUAGAAUACCUGUACCACCAGAUAUCGGUGUUAGAAUGUCCUUUUGGUAGCUUACUACAACAUGAUUCCCUACGCUUCCCAUGCCAAUAGCCGUACUGAACCACACAUAGUCUUUCCGGUUGAAGAUGUAACUAGCUAGACUUCACAAUUCUGACUGAUACCGCAUUGCCCACUCAUCCAACAAUAUACCACACUUACAAUAUAUACUAUCACUUGUCAGCUUGUAUGCAAUUGUUCACUCUUAAAGGAGAGGGUGGUGAAUGAAAAAAUGAGUAGUGACUAGUGUGCCUACCUUUUAUUGUUGCGGUUUUGUACAAACGAUACCUUUUAUUGUUGUGGUUUUGUACAAACGACACAAGUUAUUUCUGGCUGCUAUAGAACAGUUGUCAUUCUGCAUUUAUAAAAGAGUAAAUUGCACGGCC